UGUCCUUCUAAGCACACAUGGAAUUGUGGGAAGGACUAUCAGGACUUGCGUGAUUUAAACGUUAGCCAGUGUCCUCACUGCCAAGUGGGAGGUUAUCAGCCCAAGUGAAAGUGCCAGAAAGCCCAGGUUAAAAGCACCACGAAACUCAGUGAAGAAGAGGAAGCAUGAGGAGUAACCCAAAUAAGGGAGGUGUAUGAUCAGAUCAAUAGGUCAGAAAGAUGAUCUUAGCAGCAAUAUUUUGAAUAGACCUGAGGAAGCAAGCUGAAUGUCAGGAAUGGUAGAGAAGCAAAGGUUGCAGUAGUCAAGAUGGCAAAUGAUGGAGAACAAUGGUUAUAUAACGUGCUGGAUUAAAAGACUUACCAGCACUCAGCCCUAUCAUUCCAACAGAAGGCCCUACAUUAGCAUGUAAAUAGCUGGCAGAUACGAGGAAAUGAAAGCAAGGAAGAGCUCUUUAAUUAACUUUAAUCCUCUGCAAAUCCGUACAGCAAUCUGUUCUGACAGUUUUCUACACAGGAUCUUCUUAGGAGGUCCCUCAAUGCUGUCUGUGGAUCCUUGCCAGACCAAAACGAGUGCAGAGAACAAAAAAGGCAACUUUGGAAACAAUAUUUGGACAUUUUUCUGCUAUUAAAUGUUGCCCUGUUGACUGCCAUCUGCUAUUAUCAAACCUGUCAUCAGUCCAAGUCUGGAUGGGAAGCAAAGAUGUCAUCAGCAAGAUGACAGUUCUCAUCAUACCAGUCGGCAAUCCAAUCCUCCUCUGCUUCAGGGGCACCAGCGCCAAAUCCCAUUCACACACACACACACACACACGCAUGCACAUACCAGCCAGCCAGCUAACCAGCCUUUGGUUCCAAGGUGCCAGUACUACACCUCCAUCCUCAGCCUGUAGGAAAGGGAGAUUCCUAGAUACUGAAGAGUGAGGCAGCUUAAUUCUUAUGCUGCCAGAUAAGACCUGUACUGUACCAGGGAUAGUCAAUUAUAUUAUGUCAAGGUCCACAUUUCUUGGUCAAGGUAAUUGCAAGGUACAGACUCCAGAGAAAAUAAUAAAAAUAAUAAUAAUGAUGAUAAGUAGUAAAUAAAAGACUUUGGGGUCCGUUCAAAGGCAUCUGGGGGUCUGGAUUUGGCCCAUAGUCUGCCUAUUCACUACCCCGUUGUAGACAGUCCUCCUGGACUUGGGUAAAAACAAAUAUGACAAUAUAACUAAAACCCAACAAACUGGAAUUGCUCCUCAUAUCUAAGAGGCCAAGAUUAUUCAUUCUACUCUGUACUACAGUAAAUUUAAAACAAAUUUUGAGGGAGGGAGAAGCAGAAGACCAAACAGAAAUGGAGGGCAGUUCUCCGCUCACAAAGCCUUCUGACAAUGGACACUCAUAAAUAACUAAAACCCACUCCCAUAAGUCAGCAGGAUUCCACUUCCAAAGGCCAAUCUAACUGGCUAAAUAUAAGUCACUUGAGAUCUCUGUACCUGUUUCCAAAUACCGUAUUUAGCAGGUCAGAUGGGCCUUUGGAAGUAGAAGCAGCAGGCUUCUCCACACUGCCCAGCCACCAUGUCACAACUCAGAGCUGAAGAGGCCAACUCUAGGGCUGGGUGAGUAGUUAUAUCUCUUUGGACCAUUCAAUCUGAGCCCAGUAAGGGUGCUAGUUACGUCAGUGGUGUUAGCAGUGUUUAUGAUGCGGACAUAAGCCCACCAGGACCCAGAGGCCACCAAAGAGCCAUCAGAAGGGAGCAGCAAUUCUGUUAGAAAUGGAAGGCUCUAUCUGCCAUUCCCAAUACCCUGAGCCAUCCAGUACACCUGGAAUGUCACUUGGUCUGUUUUACACCCAGAAGAUGCAAAGAGUAAAGAAGAAAGCCACAGGAAACAAGAGAAAGACGACGUGCAACAGUGUAUCAGAGAGAAGAAACAGCAUUCAGAUUCAGGAAACAGUUAUACAGCAUCAGUCUGUAACUGUCUCACGCACUGCUUCACCAAGCCCAUCAGUCUCAUCACCAUUUCAUAUUUAUCUGCCAUUCAACCAGCAAUAAGUAUAAAAACCAAAUGUCAAAGUUUGUGGAGUUCUUUUCCCUUCUUUUAUAUGCUGUUCUUUUAUCAACAGCUACCACCUCACUGUAUCCACAGAAUCCACACCAGCUUUCUGUACAAAAAGCAC